rnacentral:piRNA from 1 species
GCACUUUGGGAGGCCGAGUCCUACGG